UCUCUUUCCAUCUCUCUCUCUCCACCCAAAAAAACAAAAAAAACAUCGAUAUCGACUCACCAGCUCCAUUUCAAUGGUCCUUGUCCUCAUCCUAAGUCUUCACUAAAUUUGUCCCCGUAAAAAUCUCGUUCCCUUUUUGAUCCCAUCAACAGUAGACCCUUUGAAUCAGGAUCGAGAAAGAAGCCUGCGAGCAAUCAGUUUUUGGUGUUUUGAUAGCGACCCAAUCAUACCUUACAAGAUUUUUUUUUUAGUCCUCAGGUUUGACUUUCCUAGUUCACUGUAAUAAUCCAUUUCCUUCUUUUUCUCCUCUUUCUCUGGCGAGUCAUCUUCAAUCGGAAAAAAAAAAAGAAAAGAAAAAAAGAGAGAAAUAUUUGCUAAACGUGAGUGACGACCUGCCAACCAGCAAACAAACCGAAAAUUCAAUUAUGGGGAUCUCCAUUGGUUUUCUUUACCCUCCUUUGCGAAAGGCGGAGGAGGCAGAGGCGAUGGCGAUGAAGGUGGAAGCGGAGGCAGUGGCGGCGACAGCGGCAGCAG
rnacentral:lncRNA from 1 species